rnacentral:rRNA from 1 species
UACGGGGGGGGCAAGCGUUGUUCGGAAUUAUUGGGCGUAAAGGGCGCGUAGGCGGCUUUUCAAGUGACGGGUGAAAUCCCUCGGCUUAACCGAGGAACUGCCUGUCAGACUGGAAGGCUUGAGACCGGGAGAGGUGAGUGGAAUUCCCAGUGUAGCGGUGAAAUGCGUAGAUAUUGGGAGGAACACCAGUGGCGAAGGCGGCUCACUGGACCGGAACUGACGCUGAGGCGCGAAAGCGUGGGGAGCAAACAGG